GGUUCUGCCAUUAUGACUGGGCUACACACGUGCUACAAUGGACGGUACAAAGAGCUGCAAGACCGCGAGGUGGAGCUAAUCUCAUAAAACCGUUCUCAGUUCGGAUUGUAGGCUGCAACUCGCCUACAUGAAGCUGGAAUCGCUAGUAAUCGCGGAUCAGCAUGCCGCGGUGAAUACGUUCCCGGGCCUUGUACACACCGCCCGUCACACCACGAGAGUUUGUAACACCCGAAGUCGGUGGGGUAACCUUUUUGGAGCCAGCCGCCUAAGGUGGGACAGAUGAUUGGGGUGAAGUCGUAACAAGGUAGCCGUAUCGGAAGGUGCGGUUGGAUCACCUCCUAG
rnacentral:rRNA from 1 species